GCCUGUCUGCCGUCUCCUCCAGGACCAAGUUUCCUCAAUCUCACCAAGAAGUUCCGUUUGCUCUCCUCUCCAAGACUCUCUCUCUCUCUCUCUCUCUCUCUCUCUCUCUCUCGAUCUCGAUCUCGAUCUCGAUCUCGACACAGUCAGCCCAUUGCGGAAUAUUCUGUUUGAAAUGACGAGAAGAAAGAUAGCAAUAGAGAAAAUAGAGAACGUAGCAGCGAGGCAAGUGGCUUUCUCAAAGAGGAGGAAAGGUCUGUUCAAGAAGGCCGUGGAGCUCUCUACUCUCUGUGACGCUGAGAUUGCACUCUUCGUGUUUUCUGCUUCUGGCAAACUCUUUGAUUACUCUAGUACAAGCAUGAGGCAGGUUAUUGAAAGGAGAAACUUGUACUCGGAUGUGAUCCUUGCCAAGUCAUGCCAACCAUCCCAAGAGGUGCAGGUUGAAGGUGAAUAUUUCAAGGUAAACAAGGAACUAAGAGAUAAGACUCUCGAAGUGAGACGGCUCAAUGGAGAAGAACUGCAAGACUUGUCCUUAAAAGACCUAAGAAAACUAGAAGAUUUACUCAGCACAAGCUUGCAUCGAAUUUCAAAAGCAAAGGUUGAAGUAUAUGAGCAGGAGAUCAAUAUUCUUCAAAAAAAGGAAUAUUUUAUUCAAUGGAACAACCUGGGCUUAGUACGUUGUGAGUCUUCAUUCAUGUCUCUGUUUUGUUUUGAUAAUGUGUUUCAUUUUGAUGUCAAUAAAGGAAGCCGAACUCACAGAAGAAAACCAGAGACUAAUUAAGGUGGUCAGGAAAUCAAAUCCAUGGAAGAAAACGAGACAUUAGAUCAGGCCCAAUGGUUUGAGCAUGAACAAGGCCAGGCAUUAGACAGUUCUUUCACAAUGAGGUUACUCUUUCCCUGAAUCAAAUUAAAGCCUCUAAAGGAAGAAGAGCAAUGCCAGAACUUUUUAAAAAAAAAUUAUGCACUGAAAACUGAAGUACAGUGCUUGAUUAAUUAUGAAUAAUGGCCAAUAAUGUUAUAUAUAUGUGGAUAGCUCUGUUUCAACUUAAUUAGUUAUUCUAGAUUCGUAAGGUUG